UCUGUCCCCAGUCCCUGCUCUGCCCUCUUCCACCACAGCCAGGCACCCAAAGCAAAGCAGUUGCUGCCACCAGGGAACUCUGGGGGGAACUUCACUCAGCCACCAAGUGUCAGAUAGUCACUGAGGCUGGGGACACCCGAAGGCUCGACCAGCUUCUCCACGCACCUUCUGGCACCUCCGCUGGAGGCUGGAGCAGCCGGAGGCCAAGGCAGGUUCAGGAGGACUCUCGGGGAUGGGAGCGCUGGAAGCUGUUUGAUCCGGUCGCGUCUCUGAAGGCCAGAUGCCAUACUAUGGUCAUCUGAAUCUGUGGUCAUUACCUGCAGGCUCUGGGCUUGGUGCUCAUGUCUCUCAACAUCCAAGCAGGGCCAUCUGUAAGAGUGGGACCUCUGUGAGGAUCGAGUGUCGCUUUGUGGACUUCCAGGCCCAAGUUGUGUUUUGGUACCGUCAGUUCCCCAAGCAGAGUUUUGUGCUGAUGGCAACCUCUAAUGUGGGAUCUGAGGGCACCUACGAACAAGAUUUUGACAAGAAGAACUUUCCCAUAAGUCACCCCAAUGCCUCCUUUGCAUCUCUGAUGUUGACCAUCGCACAUUCUACAGACAGCAGCUUCUUCUUCUGUGCUGGUG